rnacentral:rRNA from 1 species
GGACUACCGGGGUAUCUAAUCCUGUUUGCUCCCCACGCUUUCGCGCCUCAGCGUCAGUCACCGGCUGGAAGCUCGCCUUCGCCACCGGUGUUCUUCCUGAUAUCUACAGAUUUCACCCCUACACCAGGAAUUCCAGCUUCCCCUCCGUGACUCAAGCUAUACAGUUUCCAAUGCAGCUCCGGGGUUGAGCCCCGGCAUUUCACAUCAGACUUACAUAGCCGCCUACGCGCCCUUUACGCCCAAUAAUUCCGAACAACGCUCGCCCCUUACGUGUUACCGCGGCUGCUGGCAC